GGAUUUUGAGUUGGCAACAAUUUAUAAUUUGCAAUUAUAAGAUAUAUAGUAUAUAAAAUCCU
rnacentral:tRNA from 1 species